UUUGUCUUUCGGGACAGAGAGAGCGGCGUACGGGUGCGGAACACGUGUGCAACCUGCCUUUAUCAGGGGGAUAGCCUUUCGAAAGGAAGAUUAAUACCCCAUAAUAUAUUGAUUGGCAUCAAUUAAUAUUGAAAACUCCGGUGGAUAGAGAUGGGCACGCGCAAGAUUAGAUAGUUGGUGAGGUAACGGCUCACCAAGUCAGUGAUCUUUAGGGGGCCUGAGAGGGUGAUCCCCCACACUGGUACUGAGACACGGACCAGACUCCUACGGGAGGCAGCAGUGAGGAAUAUUGGACAAUGGGUGCGAGCCUGAUCCAGCCAUCCCGCGUGAAGGACGACGGUUCUAUGGAUUGUAAACUUCUUUUAUACAGGGAUAAACCUACUUACGUGUAAGUAGCUGAAGGUACUGUAUGAAUAAGCACCGGCUAACUCCGUGCCAGCAGCCGCGGUAAUACGGAGGGUGCAAGCGUUAUCCGGAUUUAUUGGGUUUAAAGGGUCCGUAGGCGGAUCUGUAAGUCAGUGGUGAAAUCUCACAGCUUAACUGUGAAACUGCCAUUGAUACUGCAGGUCUUGAGUAAAGUAGAAGUGGCUGGAAUAAGUAGUGUAGCGGUGAAA
rnacentral:rRNA from 1 species